AAUCUUAUGGGGAUGCCUCUCAACCUGAACAAACUAAAUGAGCAACAAACUAAAAAGAAAAGCUUGCAAUAUUUAUUCUUUUUGUCUAUUUACUGAGUUGAUCUAAAAUAAUGUUUUCCUUUACCAGGUCUGCAAUGAACAUGGAUUUGACAAACUAUGCCCGGUAUGCAAAAACAUUUUUUACAUUAUUAUCCCUGUUUUCAGCCUUCUCCCUCUAUUCUCCCCCCACCACCUGGCAUUAUAUUGUCUUAUUUUCAAAUUUUGCAUUUUACUUUUUUUUAGGACCCAACUGGCUGGAUAGACCUCGAACAAUGUAUUGGAUCAGGAGGAUUUGGAGUAAUCCAUAAGGCAUGGCAUUUUAAGGAAAAGAAAGAAGUGGCCAUAAAAGUGAUAAAAGACCUUAGGGAUAAUGAAGAGAUCCUUGCUGAACUGUACGUACUUGAACGCGUUUCUGGCCACGACAACUUCCCUGCCUUUUAUGGAGCCUGUUAUCUACGGCCCAGCAUUUCAAAUGAAGAGGCGCUAUGGAUUGCUAUGACAAUGUGUGCUGGUGGCUCCGUAGACGCCUUAAUUAGGAGCACGCCCAAUAGAUCCUUGGAUGAGACCUGGAUUUCAUACAUAUGCUGGAAAGU